rfam:Trichobilharzia regenti genome assembly, scaffold: TRE_scaffold0011974
GUACUGAUGAGGAGUCCCAAAGUAGGACGAAACAGUCGUCCAGUAC